GUUCAUCCAACUUGUUUCAAGACAGACAAUAGCUUUAAUCGUGUAAUCCACGGAAGAGCAUGCAAAUAAUUUUCAGAGAGUGGAAAAGUUUCAAUCUUGAUUGAAAGAUCCAGUGCUGUGCUGAGUCCAGAGAGCUGCCUCGUGGAGAUCAGAGAUGAGGGACCGAAAAGGUCGAGAAUACAAGAUCAUGGACGUGCAGCAGCGUUCUGCACCCUGAACCCCAUGGACAAGCUCAAUCUGACGGGAGAAGGAAC